rnacentral:tRNA from 1 species
GGUUUUAUAUUUUAAUAAAAAAGUUAGAUUUGCAUUCUAAAAAUGGGAAUAUAUAUUUUCUAAAACCA